UACGAAGGGUGCAACCGUUGCUCGGAAUUCUUGGGCGUAAAGCGCACGUAGGCGGCUCUGCAAGUCGGAUGUGAAAUCCCUCGGCUCAACCAAGGAAGUGCAUCCGAAACUGCGGAGCUUGAGUACUUAAGAGGAUCGCGGAAUUCCCGGUGUAGAGGUGAAAUUCGUAGAUAUCGGGAGGAACACCAGUGGCGAAGGCGGCGAUCUGGGAAGAUACUGACACUGAGGUGCGAAAGCGUGGGGAGCAAACAGG
rnacentral:rRNA from 1 species